rnacentral:tRNA from 1 species
GGGGGUAUAGCUCAGUGGUAGAGUGCAUGCUUAGCAUGCAAGAGGUCCUGGGUUCAACCCCCAGUACCACCA